rnacentral:misc_RNA from 1 species
GCAAACUUGGUCAUUUAGAGGAAGUAAAAGUCGUAACAAGGUUUCCGUAGGUGAACCUGCGGAAGGAUCAUUAACGCAAUGAGAAUUUUUCAAUUCUUGAACCCCCUUCUGCGUACUUGUAACCGUUGCUUUCCGUGGUUCGGAAUGGAUCCCGCGUUCAUUUCGGGUCGACCGUCAAGGUACGGCUACGGCGUUCACGGAAGGUUUAAACAAAACUUCAUGUCUUGUAUUGUGACUUAGUCUGAGCAUGAGUAGUUGAGAAAUUUCUUGAAGUUUAAAACUUUCAACAACGGAUCUCUUGGUUCUCGCAUCGAUGAAGAACGCAGC